UUUGAAAGUUCAGAUUUUCAA
ensembl:piRNA 21ur-2253 ncRNA